AGCCUACUAGCUCAAUUGGUAUAGCAUUGUGCGAAACUGCAAAUGCACAAAAGAUGUGGGUUCGAAUCCCACGUAGGUUC
rfam:Spinacia oleracea cultivar SynViroflay scaffold49265.con0004.1, whole genome shotgun sequence.